rnacentral:rRNA from 1 species
UACGUAGGCAGCGAGCGUUGUUCGGAGUUACUGGGCGUAAAGCGUGCGUAGGCGGUGUCUUAAGUUUGUUGUGAAAUCUCCCGGCUUAACCGGGAGGGUGCGGCGAAUACUGAGAUGCUGGAGUGCCGGAGAGGUAAGCGGAAUUCCUGGUGUAGCGGUGAAAUGCGUAGAUAUCAGGAGGAACACCUGCGGUGUAGACGGCUUACUGGACGGUAACUGACGCUGAGGCACGAAGGUCAGGGGAGCAAACGGG